rnacentral:rRNA from 1 species
CCUGCCCCGCAGAACGACCCGCGAACACGUUAAGUACCAACAUCGCGGGGCUGAGGGCGUGUUCGCGCCCCGAGCCCCCGCGGCGCCCUUGCGUGCGCGACCUCGACUCGCUGCGCCCUCUGGGCGGGCGGGUCGCCUGGUCUCGGCGCUUGCGGCCGAACAACGAACCCCCCGGCGCGAAUCGCGCCAAGGAAUCGAAACGAAUGAAGGGCACGUCCGCUGCCGUCGGCCCGUCCGCGGUGUUCGUUCGGGCGGCGGCGUGCCUCUUCUGUCGCGAAAGAUACGAAACGACUCUCGGCAACGGAUAUCUCGGCUCUCGCAUCGAUGAAGAACGUAGCGAAAUGCGAUACUUGGUGUGAAUUGCAGAAUCCCGUGAACCAUCGAGUCUUUGAACGCAAGUUGCGCCCCAGGCCGUUAGGCCGAGGGCACGCCUGCCUGGGUGUCACGCAUCGUCGCCCCCUCCAUCCCUCAGCCCCUCGGGCUCCGGAUGAGGCGGGGGCGGAAAAUGGCCUCCCGUGCGCUCCCCGCUCGCGGUUGGCCCAAAAUCGAGUCCUCGGCGACGACGGCGCCGCGACGAUCGGUGGUGAUGCCUCGAGCGCGCCUCGUCUCCCCGUCGCGUGCGCUUUCGUUGCUCCGGACUCAUCGAGACCCUCCUCGCGUCGCACGACCGAUGCUCGCAUCGCGACCCCAGGU